UAGCUCAGUUGGUAGAGCAGCUGAUUUGUAAUCAGCAGGUCGGGGGUUCGAGUCCGUC
rnacentral:tRNA from 1 species